rnacentral:rRNA from 1 species
AUUGAACGCUGGCGGCAUGCCUAACACAUGCAAGUCGAACGGGGCAGCAAUGCCUAGUGGCGGACGGGUGAGGAAUACGUAGGAAUCUGCCCUUAAGUGGGGGAUAACCAGGGGAAACCCUGACUAAUAACGCAUGAUCUCUUCGGAGCAAAGAGGGGGAACGACAGGCCUCUCGCUUCUGGAUGAGCCUACGUCAUGAUUAGCUAGUUGGUAGGGUAAAGGACUACCAAGGAGACGAUCAGUAACUGGUCUGAGAGGAUGAUCAGUAACACCUGAACGGAGACGCGGUCCGAACUCCUAUGGGAGGCAGCAGUGGGUAAUAUUCGACAAGGGGCACAAGCCUAAUCCAGAGAUGCCGCGUGUGUGAAGAACGCCUUCGCGAUGUAAAGCACUUUAGCCUGGAAAGAAAAAACCUUGGUUAACACCCAAAGUCUUGACGGUACCAGGAGAAUAAGCACCGGCUAACUCUGUGCCAGCCGCCGCGGUAAGAC